AAGUCUGUAACAAGGUUUCCGUAGGUGAACCUGCGGAAGGAUCAUUA
rnacentral:rRNA from 1 species